AGCGCAGGCGGACCGGCAAGUUGGAAGUGAAAACUAUGGGCUCAACCCAUAAAUUGCUUUCAAAACUGCUGGCCUUGAGUAGUGCAGAGGUAGGUGGAAUUCCCGGUGUAGCGGUGGAAUGCGUAGAUAUCGGGAGGAACACCAGUGGCGAAGGCGACCUACUGGGCACCAACUGACGCUGAGGCUCGAAAGCAUAGGGUAGCAAACA
rnacentral:rRNA from 1 species